rnacentral:hammerhead_ribozyme from 1 species
AUCCAACUGACGAGUCCCAAAUAGGACGAAAUGCGCAUCUUGGAU